rnacentral:rRNA from 1 species
GAUGAACGCUGGCUACAGGCUUAACACAUGCAAGUCGAGGGGAAACGACGGGGAAGCUUGCUUCCCCGGGCGUCGACCGGCGCACGGGUGAGUAACGCGUAUCCAACCUGCCUCUGACUGAGGGAUAACCCGUCGAAAGUCGGCCUAAUACCUCAUGGCAUCGUCUGCGGGCAUCCAACGACGAUUAAAGAUUUCAUCGGUCAGGGAUGGGGAUGCGUCUGAUUAGCUAGUUGGCGGGGUAACGGCCCACCAAGGCGACAAUCAGUAGGGGUUCUGAGAGGAAGGUCCCCCACAUUGGAACUGAGACACGGUCCAAACUCCUACGGGAGGCAGCAGUGAGGAAUAUUGGUCAAUGGGCGAGAGCCUGAACCAGCCAAGUAGCGUGCAGGAUGACGGCCCUAUGGGUUGUAAACUGCUUUUAUGCGGGGAUAAAGUGAGGGACGUGUCCUUCAUUGCAGGUACCGCAUGAAUAAGGACCGGCUAAUUCCGUG